AAGGCCAAUAGUCUCUUUUUCCCUCAGGUUUCCUAACUCAUGAAAAAACAAAAUCUAAUCUCCUCAGAUUGUAAAGACAGCAACUCUCAGCCUGGAGAUGAACUCUGAAGUGCAGAGACCUCGUGUGCUAUGAGGUAUCAAGGCUCACUCUGAAAUUUUUCUUGUUUAUUUUUAGUUGUCUCAGCACACAAAGUUCUCUCUGGCAAGUUCCAUUAAGAAAGACCCUGAAAUAUGAUUACAGUUGAGUUGGCUCACAGGACUUGGUUACAAAACUUCAACCAUCAAAUUAUUUUGCUUCCAGCCAAGUCAGAUCCAAGUUUUAGUUUUCAUCCACAAGCCCCCUGUCAUGAAGAGGUGGGGACAAAACAGAAGACUGCAACCGACAUUUGCCAACCUCCUUUCUCAUGGAGAGCUUCUGUGGAAUUCCAUGCCACCUUCCAUACAGCCUAUAUGCUCACUGUCGAGAGAGGAAAAAGUGCAAGAUGUAUCUGUGUAAUUUAUAACUUGAAUAUGACAUCCCAAAGUUGUGACUAA
rnacentral:lncRNA from 1 species